GACGAACGCUGGCGGCGUGCCUAAUACAUGCAAGUCGAACGAACUCUGGUAUUGAUUGGUGCUUGCAUCAUGAUAUACAUUUGAGUGAGUGGCGAACUGGUGAGUAACACGUGGGAAACCUGCCCAGAAGCGGGGGAUAACGCCUGGAAACAGAUGCUAAUACCGCAUAACAACUUGGACCGCAUGGUCCGAGCUUGAAAGAUGGCUUCGGCUAUCACUUUUGGAUGGUCCCGCGGCGUAUUAGCUAGAUGGUGGGGUAACGGCUCACCAUGGCAAUGAUACGGAGCCGACCUGAGAGGGUAAUCGGCCACAUUGGGACUGAGACACGGCCCAAACUCCUACGGGAGGCAGCAGUAGGGAAUCUUCCACAAUGGACGAAAGUCUGAUGGAGCAACGCCGCGUGAGUGAAGAAGGGUUUCGGCUCGUAAAACUCUGUUGUUAAAGAAGAACAUAUCUGAGAGUAACUGUUCAGGUAUUGACGGUAUUUAACCAGAAAGCCACGGCUAACUACGUGCCAGCAGCCGCAGUAA
rnacentral:rRNA from 1 species